UACGGAGGAUCCGAGCGUUAUCCGGAUUUAUUGGGUUUAAAGGGUGCGUAGGCGGGACUGUAAGUCAGGGGUGAAAUACUGCAGCUUAACUGUAGCAUUGCCUUUGAAACUGCCGUUCUUGAGUACAGUUGAGGUAGGCGGAAUGUGGUGUGUAGCAGUGAAAUGCAUAGAUAUACCACAGAACGCCGAUUGCGAAGGCAGCUUACUAAGCUGUUACUGACGCUGAGGCACGAAAGCGUGGGGAUCAAACAGGAUUA
rnacentral:rRNA from 1 species